AUGUAUAAAUAAAUAGCCGCAGACCCAUCUGUGCUAAGGUAGCAUAAUCAUUAGCUUUCUAAUUAAAAGAUAGAAUGAAAGGAGAAACGAAAUAACACUGUAUCUGUAUGAUUAAUUAACUUAGCAUUCUAGUAAAAAUACAAGAAUAAAAAAACAGGACGACAAGACCCCGAUAAACUCACCAUAUUUAGUUGGGGAAACAUUACAAAAACACUUUAUAAAUUAUAUAAAACAUAUCUAAUACAAUUUAACUUGACAAGUUACUACGGGGAUAACAGCGCUAUCCUUCUCAAGAGCUCCCAUCCCAAGAAGGGCUUACGACCUCGAUGUUGAAUUAGUUAAACUUCUAAUAACGCAAAAGUUUAGAAAGUAAGUCUGUUCGACUAACAACCAACU
rnacentral:rRNA from 1 species